UAAUUAAAAAAGUCGUGUUAAACAACAACAUUUGUUUUAAAAUACCACAGUUUAAAAUUGCAGCAUGGCUUCAAGACAUAAUUGCUGUCAAUGCAGCAUUUGCGCCAACAGUAUAACUGUCUCGAAUGUUUUGCAAUUUAAAGCAUCUCUUAAUUUUGAGUAAAACCACAUUAAUUGGAUAAAGGUUUUAAAACCAUGCUUUGAAACCAUGCUUUGAAAAUGUUACUUGCUUACAGCAGAUGGCUACAAACUAAGCAUCUUUGAUAAUUAGAUGAUAAUGGCUUGCUGAAAAAGUUUCUUGCCUCUGACAACGCAAGUUACUUUAAAGGAUGUGCUUUACAUAGUAGAAUUCAUUUUUUCGACGUAUCAGAUAUCGCAAACUCACAAGAAGUUCUAAAAAGAGCAGAACUGAGGUUGUUUAAAGGCCACAGCGCAAGGUAUCGUUUUUUAACAACUAUUUUACAAAUAAAA
rnacentral:misc_RNA from 1 species